CAAUAGCGUAUAUUAACGUUGUUGCAGUUAAAAAGCUCGUAGUUGGAUUUCUGGAGGGAGCGUCGGCCCGUAUUUACGAGUGCGUGACGUCUCUGUCCAUCCUUGCGGGAAGGCACGGCAUUGAUUUGUUGUGUCGGAUCGCAUCAUUUACUGUGAAAAAAUUAGAGUGUUCAAAGCAGGCUUUCGCUUGAAUACAUUAGCAUGGAAUAAUAAGAUAGGACUUUGGUGCUAUUUUGUUGGUUGAGCCUAAAGUAAUGAUUAAUAGGGAUAGUUGGGGGCACCUGUAUUGCGUUGUCAGAGGUGAAAUUCUUGGAUUUACGCAAGACAAACAGCUGCGANANCGUCUUNCAAGGAUGUUNUCAUUNA
rnacentral:rRNA from 1 species